GAGAAAAUCAAGUUAAAAAACCAGACAGGAUGCUCCUUAAUAAGGGCUGCUCAAUUCACCACUCCUCCCUCCAGGCUUUGCGGGGAGCCGGAGGGGGAAUUCUGAGUGACCACUGGGGCCUCUACCGCCCACCCCAUCCGCCAGUCCCCACCAGACACUGCCUGGAGCCAGGGUCCUCCCCACUCUGGCCCUGAAGGAACCUUCAGGAAAUGGAGGAAGUAUGGACACAGCCCAGGCAUUUGGUUAAGUAUUUUUAAAAAGCUUUCCAAUUCUGCUAUUUUUUUCUCCUCACAUUCAAUAUUCUUGGUUGCUAAGUGGGAGGGAAUGUGGGGAGGUGGGAGAGGUGUGGGGAACUGAGGGGAAAUUGGCAACACGAAGCUGAUGGGUUUAUUUUUUCAUUUCUAAAGGGGGUACAGGCAAAGGAAAGCGCUCCGGCGCCGAGGCAACCUGCCUGGGCAGCAUCUCCUGCUAGCUGGUUCGGAGGCAGACUCCCCCAAAUCCUGAAGAUUUCAUAGGCCAGGAGUGGGGGCUUUCAGGGGAGAUAAAUAUGGACAGUUUCUAUUUUUGCUUCCAGACUUAGAAAUGUAGAAUUUUAAAAAAAUUAAAAUGAUCUUUAUUUUGAGAACAUAUCCACAAAAGGGAAGAGGCCAGUCUCAUGAUUACCUUUCACCAAGCGAAGGGCGGGUGCGCCCAGCAGCACAGCGCCGCGCCGCUGUUCCUGUGCUUGGGAAGGGGACUUCCAGCUGGGGGGGAGGUGGGGGCUGGGGCUGCCUGGCGGUGGGCAGGGCAGGGGCUGGACAGCUCAUGGCUUUCCAGGCAGAGCUCUCUUCCUUCCAGGUGCACUGCCCGCAGGGCCUGGGGUCACGGGUCUGUCUAUCAGUUUCCAGGGGGUCCAUCCCCUUAACAGGGCCCUGACUUUGAACAUUUUUUUUUAACUGCAGAAACAUUUGUAAAACAAUCUCACAGGGAACCCCAUCUCUGUUCUGCUGCCUCCGUAGCCCUCCCUCCCUGCUGGUCUCUGCAGACCACGGCCACCAGCCCACUGCCCGCCUCACCCUUCGUACUCAUUUAUAUUUUAGGUGACAUAUUUUUAGGCCCCUGACUCUUAAAAGCAUGAUAUCAGCUGACCAGACACCUUACUAGGAAAGUAAAAAAUACUCUGAGUAUUGGAGCAGUUGUGUGAAUUCACUUGAAUCAUUACAUCCCUUCUCAUUAAAUGACUUCCUUCACUUAGUAAUCUAAACAUAUGCAAGGGAAAACUGUGCAAGACUUGGAAAUGGGCAAAUAGGUGGGUGUCUGUCCGUGGAAUGCUGGGGGUUGACCAGCAGACCUUCCCCGGGUUAUCUGACUCUAAAGGGCAGGCACCGUUGACUCACUUCCCAUUGACGGAGCUACUUUACAGCUCUGUAGGGGUAGAAAUUAACCCGCGGAAAACUGAUAAUAAAGCAAGUGAAUUUUGUUUGGGGGAGAGACAACUGAUGUCACCCUGCAGUAAAGAACCCCAAACGAUAUCUUUCAUCAUCUUAUAGGAUGUUGUUUUUGUAUCUACUUGCAAAUCAUUUCAGCAUUCCUGCCUAUGAGUAUCUGUUCUUCAAACUCUUCUGUGAAUAGGUCUUAACAUUUUCCUGGUUCCUGCAUUAGUUAAUAAGGUAAAUAAAAUCUUUGACAUGUGUUUGAUAGUCGUAUGCAUCAUGAUUUUAACUUUUUCACAGUGAUAUUUUAUGCCAAUAGCCACUUCUCUUCUUAGUAGCAUGCGGCCUGAUGUCUGUGCAGGUCUUUUAAAUAUUGCUGCAGGAACCCCAUCUGGACCACAUAAAUGACUGGUCUAUACAUAAAUUACCAGAAAGAUAAGACUGGUCAAAGGAGUUAGGUAAACGGGUGUUAGAGAGAAACUGGAUAGAGAUCCAUUGUGAACUGAGUCCAGUGGGUCACUAUGGCAGUGAAAGCAAAAGAAACCCAGGAUCUGGAGGCUUCAUCAGCCACUGGGAAAACAGCCCCUUAAACAUGGAGUGUGAAGCUCCACUGCUAUCAUCUGCCACUUGUGGGGGCCUGGAGGUGCACAGGGGUGACAGAGUUAAUGCCUGCUAAAUGCCAAUCAGAGAAGGCACUGAUAGGCAGGGACCCAUGCAAAAGCCACGCAAAGCAGGCCCUGCUGGCCUCUUACCUGGGGUUGGUGAGGUUGUAGCAGGAUUUCCAUAUCUGCAGCAUGUGCUUACAAGUCAGCAGUGCCUCGUCCGGGCCUCGGCAGAGUGACUGCAACUUCACUUUGGAAAACAGUAGUCUGCAGUGGGGAGACAAAGGGAGAAAACACCACGGCUCAAGCCACAGAGUCCCCAUCCCAGCAAGACAAGUGGUGGGCUUAGACCCAGAAGCAGCUGUACUCAUUUCAGAAAGGGAACAUCCACAUGUGUGGUCCAAGGAAAGCGGGAUUCCAGAACUCCUGGCUCAAGGUGUUGCUUUGCACAAGUCUCACCACUAACGCAAAUGCAAGCACGAUGUGACUAUUUGUGGUCAGGCUGAAAGCAUUAGAGUGGCCAAUUUUAUUCAGAACACAGGGAAUUUAUUAAAAGCAUGCUUUUUAGAACCAAACCAAUUUAUUUGUGAAACCUCAAAAACUCAUUAAAAGCGAACCUUGGUUUAUUUACAGAAUUACACAGGAGAUUUGACUCAGUUGAUAUAAAUAUCUACAGAUAACCCUCCACAAUGAUGCUCACCGUCGUGUGAGCUUCGAAAGCCUGAACGGAAGUCCCAUGAAGAAGGGCAGCCUCCGGCAUAGGCCCUCAGCUCCUGUGUCUUCCCAUUCCUGCUACUGAGGGCCUAGGGCUCGUUCCGCAAUCACCUAGGUCUCUCUUCUGUAUUUUUGUUACCAUCAACUACUCCACCCUCCAUCCAGACCUUCUGGGCACUAAGCUCAGAAUGUUCUCUCUUUCGUGGCCCCACAGGGUAAUGCCAUUUCCAGAUUCUACUUAUGUUUCUCUGCCGACAUCAGCCUAGGUACCUGUAGACAUCAGCUCUCCUGGCCCCUGGACUUGUCACCACUAUCCUAGUAAAAGUCCCAGUAUGAGCCCAGCUUCCUUCCUGGUGUUCUUCCUGUCCCCUGACUUACCCGCUCUCACACAUCUUAUUAUAAAGAUCUCCAAAAAUCAUUCUUUUCCCCAAGACGGAGUCUUGCUCUGUCACCCAGGCUAGAGUGCAGUGGCACGGUCUUGGCUCACUGCAACCUCUACCUCCUAGGUUCAAGUGAUUCUCCUGCCUCAGCCUCCUGAGUAGCUGGGAUUACAGGCAUCCGCCACCACGUCCGGCUAAUUUUUGUAUUUUUAGUAGAGGUGGGGUUUCACCAUGUUGGCUAGACUGGUCUUGAGCUCCUGACCUCGUGAUCCUCCCAAAGUGCUGGGAUUAUAGGCAUGAGCCACCGCUCCCAGCCCCCAAAAAUCAUUUUUGUUCUCACCUCGAGAAACUACAAUGAUCCCUUACUUAUACUGUCUGUAAUAAUAAGUCAAAAUUCUGUAUCUCAUCGUUUAAGGCACUCCACCAACUAGCCACUCUUCUUUCACUGUCUCAUCCGAUUGGACCCUUUACUUCUGCCAAUGUAAUUCAUAGGCCAAAUGCUACUUUUCUGGCACAACUCUAUGGCUACACAUGCCACGUCCCCAACUUCAACUUCUACUCAUGCACAUCUUUCUUUAAUUCUUCCCAAACCCAGCCAAAACCCCACUUAAAUAAGUAAGUCUUCAAGUUUUAACCCCUUAUCUUCUCUACUCAGUAUGUGCCAUAUUAGCUGGCAUUUGUUGUUAAUAAUAAAAAGAAGAAAAAGAGAGGGAGGAGCUCCUGCUGACCGAAGGCAUCCCACGUGCCAGGCCUUGUGUUUGGCACUUCACACGCUGUCAAUGUCCUUGGAAGAAGCUGUCAAGGCAGGUGGUGUCUAACACUCUUCAACAGAUAUGGAAACUGAAGCUCUGGUGCCCUUUGGUUGUUUUCUGGAUGUGAUUUUCUUCCUGAGGACAAGAGCCCUGACAUCUCUCUCUGCCUCUCUGUAGCCUCACCUCCAGUUCCAAGAAUUGUGCUCUGAGUUUGAUGGGCCUUAAAUCAGCAUUUACUCACUGACUACUUUUUCUAUAAAGCAAGGCAUUUUAGAGAUUUCAGCUGGACAUCCAGGAGAAUUCCUUCACCCUGCAUGAUGUGAUGUCCUCAUUCAAAGGUACCUUAGAGGAGGAAAGUCUCUUUUUCAUGUGUGAGAGGUGGAAUGAAAGUGGUCCUAACCCAUCACUGCCCAAGCUCAGGAUGGGUUCACACCAAGCGCCCCCAGCGACCCCUCCAAAUGGAACAUAGGAAGUCCAGGGCGGUGCGGUGCUCCCAGUGGGGCCACGGCUGCAGCCUCCCCAUGCCUGGGCUUGCAGAAGCCUGGAAUGAUGGGACGAGGGCCAGGUAAAGGGAGGAAUGUAGUCUCUGAUCUACAAGCAGAUGAGCAUAAAGAGCGAGGCUAGAUGUGAGAAUAGGGCUCAGCUUCUGCUCAAAAACAUCCCAAGAAGCGGAAAUGCUUUGGAAGCCUUACCAAGACUGCCUAAAUGGGAUGGCAGCCGCUCAGGGUGCCUCUGUGGGGAUUAAAGACACCAGAAGCUGGCUCCUGCUGAAGCCUGCCCGAGUCCAGAACAAGAUGGGAGUACUUUUCCACCAGAAUCUCUCACCAAACAGGGGUCAACUGGGAGAGUUGACAAAGGAAGGAGAAGCUGCCAAACAGGUCACCAUUGGGUAGAGAGGGUGGUAAGGCAUGAGUGCCAAGCAAUUGCGGCAAGGGGAGGCCCCAUGGAGGACUGUGGGGGGUCCAGGAAGCCGUGCACGUGCUGCACAGGCUGGAGCUCUCUGGGGGCCAUGCCAAGAACUCCCCUCCAAUGGCGCCUGCCCCCAGAGGAGGUGCCUGCCCCACAGCGGGCAGUGGGGUGCCUCUAAUAGCAAUGAACUGUGGUUCCUUUAACUGUACCCAAAGGACAGAAUGCCAGAGUGCGUCUCUAAGCCUCAGCUUGGGGGAACAGUUUUGAGCAAGCCUUCUUGGCUGGAAAAAGAACUUCUAAUUAACAUAAAAUAACAGCUUUCAAACACUUGACUCAGGAUAUGGAAUUGAAAAGGUGUGGGCUUGCAUUUCAGAGAACCAGACAGGAAGAACAAUGGUAGAGUGGCUGAGCACAAACGAUGGAAAAAAGCACUUGGAAGACCUCUCAAGAGGAACAGCAUGAGAGAGGCUGGCAGAGAAAAGGAGCCAGGGACACAGCAGGGACAAAGAGGAAAGCCUGACAGCUGCUGCCUAGGCAGGAAUGCAAAAUGGCUGUGCAGAAAAGCAUGCGGGAUCUGCCCAAGCGGGGCAGCGGCUGAGGGGGCCCUGGAUACCUUCCCCAUCUCUUGCUGCCUCCUGUCCAGAUCGGGGGAGCUGGAGUGAGGCUGGCUGUCAAAUAUCCGAAGGAAAGUGAGCAUCUGUCACCAGGCUGCCACCAACUCGCCUGUGUCCAAAGGCCUCCCUCCCUACUGGUAUCCCUGGGGUGGUUACUGUGUGCUCACUCCUUCCAGACAUCCUUCAGUUAGUUUCCACUGAUGUAAAAAGAAAUGUGACUGUCUGAUAAAAUCUGUGUUGACAUGUAUAAGAGCUGAGGCCACGGACAGAAGUGUUCUAGAAGACCUCUGUGCCUCCAAUCAG
rnacentral:lncRNA from 1 species